rnacentral:rRNA from 1 species
AUUAAGUUUAAUUUAAUAUAGGAUCUGCUCAAUGAUUUAUUAAAUAGCUGCAGUAUUUUGACUGUGCAAAGGUAGCAUAAUAAUUAGUCUUUUAAUUGAGGACUUGUAUGAAAGAUUUGAUGAGAAAUAAACUUUAUUAUUUAUAUAAUUAAAAUUUUAUUUUUAAGUAAAAAAGCUUAAAUUAUUUAAAGGGACGAUAAGACCCUAUAAAACUUUAUAAAUAUUAAUUUUAAUUUUUUUGGAUUUAUAAAUGUUUUGAUUUUAUUAUUUAUUUUAUUGGGGUGAUAAAAAAAAUUAUUAAACUUUUUUUAAAAUUUUACAUUAUUUAUUGAGUAUUUGAAUUAAAAUUUUUAAUUAAAGGAAAAAGUUACUUUAGGGAUAACAGCGUAAUUAAUUUUUUAAGUUCAAAUUUAAAAAUUAGUUUGCGACCUCGAUGUUGAAUUAAGAUUAAUCUUAGGUGCAAAAUUUUAAGUAUUAGGUCUGUUCGACCUUUAAAUUCUUACGUGA